CGCGUAGGCGGCUUGGUAAGUAGGGGUGAAAUCUCACGGCUCAACCGUGAGGCUGCCUUCUAGACUGCCGAGCUUGAGCACAGUAGAGGCUGGUGGAAUUCCCGGUGUAGCGGUGGAAUGCGUAGAGAUCGGGAAGAACAUCUGUGGCGAAGGCGGCCAGCUGGGCUGUUGCUGACGCUGAUGCGCGACAGCGUGGGGAGCAAACA
rnacentral:rRNA from 1 species